UACGUAGGGGGCAAGCGUUGUCCGGAUUUAUUGGGCGUAAAGAGCUCGUAGGUGGUUCGGUAAGUCGGAUGUGAAAUCUCCAGGCUCAACCUGGAGGGGUCAUUCGAUACUGCCGUGACUAGAGUUCGGUAGGGGAGUGUGGAAUUCCUGGUGGAGCGGUGAAAUGUGUUGAUAUCAGGAGGAACACCCAUGGCGAAGGCAGCAAACUGGGCAUCAACUGACGCUGAGGCGCGAAAGCGUGGGUAGCAAACAGG
rnacentral:rRNA from 1 species